UACAGAGGGUGCGAACGUUGCUCGGAUUUACUGGGCGUAAAGCGCGUGUAGGCGGGCUAGCAAGUCGGUUGUGAAAUCCCUGGGCUCAACCUAGGAACUGCAUCCGAAACUGCUUGUCUUGAGUAGUAGAGAGGGUGGCGGAAUUCCCGGUGUAGAGGUGAAAUUCGUAGAUAUCGGGAGGAACAUCAGUGGCGAAGGUGGCCACCUGGAUACUUAUUGACGCUGAGACGCGAAAGCGUGGGGAGCAAACAGG
rnacentral:rRNA from 1 species